UUUUCAAAUCAGUGAAAUUAAUCUCCCCGUGAAGAAGCGGGGAUACUCAUAUAAGACGAGAAGACCCCAUGGAGCUUCAAACCCAACUACACCCCUAGCUCUUAUAGCCCCACAACCCCCCUAGGCGCCGUGUGCUUGGUUUUAGGUUGGGGCGACCGCGGAGUACAAUAAAACCUCCACAAUGAAUGGGAACACCCCCUUAUCUGAGGGCCACACCCCCUAAGAAUUAGAACACUAACAUAAAAUGAUCCAUUACUUGAUCAAUGAACCAAGUUACCCUGGGGAUAACAGCGCAAUCCAUUUCAAGAGCCCCUAUCGACAAAUGGGUUUACGACCUCGAUGUUGGAUCAGGGUACCCCAGUGGUGCAGCAGCUACUAACGGUUCGUUUGUUCAACGAUUAAAACCCU
rnacentral:rRNA from 1 species